UGGGGAAUCUUGCGCAAUGGGCGAAAGCCUGACGCAGCAACGCCGCGUGGGGGAUGACGGCUUUCGGGUUGUAAACCCCUUUCAGCAGGGACGAAAAUGACGGUACCUGCAGAAGAAGCCCCGGCCAACUACGUGCCAGCAGCCGCGGUAACACGUAGGGGGCGAGCGUUGUCCGGAAUUAUUGGGCGUAAAGAGCUCGUAGGCGGUUCGGUAAGUCAGACGUGAAAUUUCAGGGCUCAACCCUGAGACUGCGCCUGAUACUGCUGUGACUAGAGUCCGGUAGAGGAGUGUGGAAUUCCUGGUGUAGCGGUGAAAUGCGCAGAUAUCAGGAGGAACACCAGCGGCGAAGGCGGCACUCUGGGCCGGUACUGACGCUGAGGAGCGAAAGCGUGGGUAGCAAACAGGAUUAGAUACCCCCGUAGUCC
rnacentral:rRNA from 1 species